CCCUGCACAAGCUUUCUUGCCCACUGCCAUGUAAGAAGUCCCUUUGCUCUUCCUUCAUCUUCUGCCAUGAUUGUGAGGCCUCUGCAGCCAUGUGGAACUCUCAUGACAUCCUGGCAUCAACUGUCCUGUGAGCCAUCCAUGGAAGAAGUUCUCUUCUGAAGCCACAGUGGAGGUAGCAUAGGUGGAUGCGGUGAAGAAUCGCUGUGCCCAGGGCAAUCGUCAGUAAUAACAGAGCUGAUGGGACAAUAACUCAGAGAGCCAGCAGUUCUAAAGAGCAGAACCAGAACAGAAUGGAAACUUUCUGGACUUGCUCACCAAAACCUGAGGCCCUCAUCUCAGCCCACCCAGAAUGAUCCAAGAUGGCCGAUCGCUAACAUCUCGGGAUUGCAGCUCUCAGUGAAAGUGCAGAGAACUAGAGGACGCCACACUUUCAGACGAAUUCUGGUCGCUCACGGAGCAGAAGAUCCCCAGUGGAGGAGUCACAGGGGUCGCCAGCACGACUCUUGUGGCCGGCGCGGUGGUUUCACCAGCACCUCAGUGCGGCAACUCUCGGAG
rnacentral:lncRNA from 13 species